rnacentral:rRNA from 1 species
UACGUAGGGGGCAAGCGUUGUCCGGAUUUAUUGGGCGUAAAGAGCUCGUAGGCGGCUUGUCGCGUCGACUGUGAAAACCCGUGGCUCAACCAUGUGGUCUGCAGUCGAUACGGGCAGGCUAGAAUUCGGUAGGGGAGACUGGAAUUCCUGGUGUAGCGGUGAAAUGCGCAGAUAUCAGGGGGAACACCGGUGGCGAAGGCGGGUCUCUGGGCCGAUAUUGACGCUGAGGAGCGAAAGCGUGGGGAGCGAACAGG